rnacentral:rRNA from 1 species
GGCUUAGAAGCAGCCACUCAUUAAAAGAGUGCGUAAUAGCUCACUGGUCGAGUGACUCUGCGCGGAAAAUAUAACGGGGCUAAGCAUGAAACCGAAGCUUGGGCUUGUACUUAGGUACAGGGGUAGGGGAGCGUCGAGUAUGGGGUGAAGUCAGAGCGGAAGCACUGGUGGACUGUACUGGAGUGAGAAUGCCGGAAUGAGUAGCGAGAAUUAUGUGGGAAUCAUAAUGGCCGAAAAUCUAAGGUUUCUUGGGGAAGGUUCGUCCGCCCAAGGUAAGUCGGGAGCUAAGCUCAGGCCGAGAGGCGUAGGCGAUGCACAUACGGUAGAAAUUCCGUAACCACCGAAACUUAAACAGAGGGACACUUCGAAAUAGCGGAACCCGGGCGUUGGUUGACCCGGGCGAAAGGGAGCGAAAUUAGAGUAGCGAAGUCCGCGAUGUUCGGAGGCGAGAAAAGCUCUGAGGUAUGCUAAGGUGCCCGUACCGCAAACCGACACAGGUAGAUGAGGAGAGAAUCCUAAGGCCAACGGGAGAAGGGUUGUUAAGGAACUCGGCAAAUUGACCCCGUAACUUCGGGAGAAGGGGUGCUCCAGAGAUGGAGCCGCAGAGAAUCGGCCCAAGCAACUGUUUACCAAAAACACAGGUUUGUGCUAAAUCGAAAGAUGACGUAUACGAGCUGACGCCUGCCCGGUGCUGGAAGGUUAAGAGGAGAUGUGCAAGCAUUGAAUCGAAGCCCCAGUGAACGGCGGCCGUAACUAUAACGGUCCUAAGGUAGCGAAAUUCCUUGUCAGGUAAGUUCUGACCCGCACGAAAGGCGUAAUGAUUUGUGCACUGUCUCGACAACACGCCCGGUGAAAUUGAAGAACCAGUGAAGAUACUGGUUACCCGCAACAGGACGGAAAGACCCCAUGGAGCUUUACUGCAGCCUGAUACUGGGAUUCGAUGAUAUAUGUACAGGAUAGGUGGGAGGCUAAGAAGCGAGAACGCUAGUUUUCGUGGAGCCGCCGGUGGGAUACCACUCUUAUGUCAUUGAAUUUCUAACCUGCAUCCGUAAUCCGGGUGAGGGACAAUGUCAGGCGGGCAGUUUGACUGGGGCGGUCGCCUCCUAAAAGGUAACGGAGGCGCUCGAAGGUCACCUCAGAAUGAUUGGAAACCAUUCAAAGAGUGUAAAGGCAAAAGGUGGCUUGACUGCGAGAGCGACGGCUCGAGCAGGUACGAAAGUAGGACUUAGUGAUCCGGUGGUAAUAAGUGGGAAUGCCAUCGCUCAACGGAUAAAAGCUACCCUGGGGAUAACAGGCUU